rnacentral:rRNA from 1 species
CACGUAGGGGCCAAGCGUUGUCCGGAUUUAUUGGGCGUAAAGAGCUCGUAGGCGGUUCGGUAAGUCGGGUGUGAAACCUCCAGGCUCAACCUGGAGACGCCACCUGAUACUGCUGUGACUGGAGUCCGGUAGGGGAGCGUGGAAUUCCUGGUGUAGCGGUGAAAUGCGCAGAUAUCAGGAGGAACACCAGCGGCGAAGGCGGCGCUCUGGGCCGGAACUGACGCUGAGGAGCGAAAGCGUGGGUAGCAAACAGG